AGCUUCUUACAUCCAUGUCCAGAUUUCGUCCCACUCAAUCCCACCAAAGCUGACGAGACUUUUAAGAUGAGUGAAGUG
rfam:Schistosoma margrebowiei strain Zambia genome assembly, scaffold: SMRZ_contig0001990